rnacentral:rRNA from 1 species
AACUCCUGGAAUGGGUUCUCGCCGAAAGGACGUCUAGACCAUGCUUCUAAGCGUUGCCCAAGGAGGGGGCCGCGGCCGAUCAGGCUGUUGGCGAGGUAACGGCUCACCAAACCUUUAACCGGUACGGGCCGUGAGAGCGGGAGCCCGGAGAUGGGCACUGAGAUAAGGGCCCAGGCCCUACGGGGCGCAGCAGUCGCGAAAACUCCGCAAUACACGAAAGUGUGACGGGGCUAUCCCGAGUGCCGUCCGCUGAGGAUGGCUUUUCCCUAGUGUAUAAAGCUGGGGGAAUAAGGAGAGGGCAAGACUGGUGUCAGCCGCCGCGGUAAUACCAGCUCUCCGAGUGGUGGGGACGCUUAUUGGGCCUAAAGCAUUCGUAGCCUGUUGGGCAAGUCCUCCGUUAAAUCCAACGAUUCAAUCGUUGGGCUGCGGGGGAUACUGUCCGGCUAGGGGGCGGGAGAGGCCGACGGUAUUCUCGGGGUAGGGGUGAAAUCCUAUAAUCCCGGGAGGACCACCAGUGGCGAAGGCUGUCGGCUAGAACGCGCCCGACGGUGAGGGAUGAAAGCUGGGGGAGCGAACCGGAUUAGAUACCCGGGUAGUCCCAGCUGUAAACGAUGCAGGCUAGGUGUUGGCGCGGCUACGUGCCGCCCCAGUGCCGCAGGGAAGCCGUUAAGCCUGCCGCCUGGGAAGUACGGCCGCAAGGCUGAAACUUAAGG